AUGAUGUCACCUCCUGCGGCAAGAACGCGGUGUCACAGGCAUCCACGUGGCACACGGUGCUGCAGGAGGGACCCACGCAAGGACAAUACUAAAAGGUCCAAUCCAAUGCAACAGCCACGGAUGAAUUUUUCCCUGAAGUUUUCGAAGCCAUGCCGACCAGGGUCAAAGCCCAGAUCGAAGCCAUCAGACUUACACCACCAGAAGCACACAGGGCCCCCGGCUGGCCGAGCAGCCCCUGCCACACCAGUCGCCCCCUCCCAGCCCCGGGGGGAGCCCGCAGGCUCCAGCCGCCCACCCCGGCCCUUGGUGGUGAGCGCACGGCGGCUGGGGCCACCGAGCCCGCGGGCAGGCCGGCCCGAUGCUGGUUGGCAGCAGCCACUGCUCUUCGUCUUCGAGCAAAAAAAGGCGCCCCUCACUGCGGCUGCAGCCACGACCUCUCCUGCACCGGCCUCGGCGGCUGUUCGGAGUCCUGCGGAGCCAAAUCCUUCAUUUUCUUUAGAAAUAAAAGCAAUGCCGCAGCGGGGCCAGCCGGCAUCCCCCUCCACACAGCAAAGCCCACAGCGGGGACAUGUUCAGCAGCGUGCAAACCGCUCCCCUCAGCUGCUCUCACCCUGCGAUAAAGCCAAGGGGCCUCCGGUCACCUGCCGGCCCCCCGCUGCAGCCCCCGAGGACAGCCAGGGUUCAGCAAGGGCCAGCGUCUCCCCUCCCCGCCUGGAGAUCAUCUCGCUGAAGAAAGGCUUCGCCGUCAAGGCCUUCCCCACCUUCAGCCGAAGUCGCUCGCCCCCAGGCCCUGCCAGCCCCCACAAGGCCCUGCCAGGGGCUGCUGCAUCCAAAAGGGCCGAGGCGGCGGGCGUCCCCACAGGCGGCCGAGCACCGAGAUCCGCACCCUUGCCUGGAACCAGGUGGGUCCACAAAUUCCUGUAGAGAGAAACCCGCCCCCCUCAGCACCCAGAUCCUGCGAGGACACCACGGCUCGAAGCACACAGCAGCUCUUCCUGGCCAAUUCACAGUUUAAGAGUGCUUUGAGUUUUAUUUUAUUUUUUAAAGCCGUGUGCAAGACAUUAAUGAUAUACUGCUUGUUAACACACAAAGGUUAAAAUGUCUGUGUAUCACCUAGCUAAAUCCAUUUAUGCAUAUAGUUAAACGGCACCAAUACUGACAGUGCCUCCUUCCUGCAGAAACAACCCACUCCAAAAGCGGCCUUCCCAUAGACUUGGCUUUUCACUCAGCUUGCCCAACACUGGAGCUGUACAGAUAAUGGAGCAGUUCCCAACAGCAGCCAUAAAACACACUCAAAAGCUAGUUAUGUAUCAAGCUAAUAGAAUUAGGAAGUAAUUUAACACUGAAAUUCUGCUGCUAACAAAGGUCAUGUUCAACCAGUGAGCAUUUUACAAGCGUUUCUAAAGCAACCGUUCUGAAAACUGAGCAUUCUCCUAAAAGCAGCUGCGGCAAUUCUUGUGAUGGUAAGAUCAGCAGCAACAGCCCUUAGCAGUAGCAAAAUAUCUUUAAAAUCCCUUUCCAUUAAGCAACGAACAUGUGCAAAGUCCUGGAAGGCAGACCGCCUUCCAGGCCGCACCACCUGGCUGGGAGCCAUUGCCGUGGCCCAAAAGCUGAGCUGCUCAUCCUUCGGUAAGCUAAUCAAAACUUCCAUUGAUCCACUCUGUGUUUUCUUUCUCUUCACUUUCCAAUAAUUUAGGGCAAUAUUUUUUUUUUAAUUAAAUACAAAGGCCUUUCCACGUUUCAGAAAAUUAAUCACUUUUGGCAUUUAUUAGUUAUUCAUUUCUGUUUAAAGCAUGUUUUAUAAUUCAUUAAACUACCUCAAAAAUUAAAUUCUUAACAGCCCAAGGCCCAAAAUAUGUUUAAGUAAGAAAAUUAAGCACAGUAAUAAAUAGCGAAGAAUUCUGAAAUAUUAAUUUGGC
rnacentral:lncRNA from 1 species